AUAGACAAAGUACUGAUGUACUUAUCCCUUACAUGGAUAAAGUCUGAAUUAUAUUUUCAGUGUUUAU
rnacentral:tRNA from 1 species